ensembl:lncRNA
GGUUUGGGGGGGGCAGAAAUUAAGCAUAUUAAAGAUUAGUUGAAAAUUUCAAGAAGCAUCACAGAUAAGAGAAACACAAGCGUGGGGGUUUAUUGUGUUCCGUCUUUCAAAAAUUGUUUCACAAAAUGAUGUGGCUGAAGAAGCCACAUAAAGAGAAGGGAUUUUCUUGUGAGUGCUUAACUGCCUGAAGAGAGAGUCCAGAGGGGCUGUGAAAUCAGACCCUGGAGGCUUCUCUGUAGUGCCAUGCUAAUCAGGGUUAUUUUACUCCCUGAGACUUCAUUUCUGCUUCCAGGAGUUGGUGGCAAAAUAAGCUUUCAUUUUCUCACAACAGCACAUUCCCAGGAAAGGGCCCUUGUCCUGAAGUCCUCUGUGACAUUCUGUCCUUGGUCUCACAGGUGGCUCAACUGUCUUCCCAGAUCCCCCAGGAUUGCGCCCCUCCUUAAUCAAAGGGCUGGUCAGUGAAUGUACCCAGGUCAUUAAUUGCGUGGAGCUCGGGCAGUUUGUGCACUGUCCUCCCCUUCUUCAGUUCUCCUGGGUCCAUCCCUCAUCAGCUAAGCUAUGUGAAGUAGCUUAAUUGACAUUGCAACAUCGCACAUCACACCGAGUGCGUGUGAACUGCCGACUAGAUAAAGCCUGACGUGACUGGACACUGGUGGGCAGACAGCCCCCAGAACCACAGGCGGUUCCAGAUGUUUUUGUCGAGGCUGGCACAGUUCCAGUCACUUCUGAGCUGGCCUUUCCAGUUUCUCCAGGUCUCAACUCCACGCACCGGGUGUUGGCAGGCGCGGGGAAAAUAUUCCUCAGGCUUUGAUCUCCAUCUCUGCUGCGGGCCCUGUUCCGUUGACCUCAGCCACGUCGCUGCCCUCCCGUGUAUAAGAAAUCCGCCAAGAUGGCGCCCCUGGCCAAUACUUCCAGACCGCCGACGGAGACGCUCAUGGCACGGCCGCACUCUGCAGUGUUCUGUGGGUCGGGAAAGCUCAUAAGUUGUUAUUUGCCUCCUCCCCCAGUAAGGAGGGAACUUGCUGGCAAACCUCAAGGCAGAGUUAACUGGGUGGAAGCCAUUCUUAGCGUGUGGGGUGUCUAAAUAACAGGUGUGGGCUGCAUUUGGCCCAUUGGCUGUAGUUUGCCAACCCCCGUUCCAGGAAGAGUGAAACGUGUCACCGUAACAGAAGCAACACUCACAUCACCCUAUUCUUCUCAUAUUCACUGCAGACUUGAUUGUUAUGAUCUGGGUAAAAAUGCUGGUCAUCAAAGCGUCUGUUCCCAAAUCAAUGCCUGUGAUUCAUAACAGCAUAGACCACCUGACUUCAAGGAGAACCAUCUACACUCGUCAGAGGACAAGCCAUCACUCAGAAAUUCUGAUCUUCAAGGUUGUGCAGUAGUGGAAUGAGAUUCUGUGGGUGUUUCCCUUGGUGAUACGAUGGUGAGUGGAUCUGAUGGGAGCUUUUAUCAAAACUUGGGUGAUACAAACCGUGUGGACUAGUAACCAGAAAUCAGGUGGUGCCUUGAUCAGUACAGUGGAUGCCAGCACAGACGUCAGUGACCGAAGAUAAGGACUCUCCAAAGAGGUCAGAGGUUAUAAUCACCAGUAGAAGCCAACCUGCUGUCAGUGUUUUAGCUCCACAGCGACCCUCCGGAAGUGACCUACCCUCCCAUGAACUGUGAGUGGGAAGGGAGGAAUUAAAUCUGAACUUACAGAGUUUAAAUGUAAAAUAACUGAGUUUGCAUGGAAUUAAUAAUGAUUGAAGUUUCUGCCAGCUAGCACAAUAGGGUCUUUCAGUUAGAGAAAAUAAAGUUAAUCCUUUUUACGACCAAGAACAUGGCUUUAGAAAAUUGAACCUGUUACAUAAGAAAUUGAGGCAUAAGUAUAUUAUUUAAGGUAAUUAAAGAUAAACAAGCAAAGAAAUAAAGAUGAUAAUACAUCACAUAGUAUAAAAAG